CAGCAUAUUUGACCCCGCCAUCGGAGAGUUCCAGUUAUCCUGUAGGGACUCUCCCAUGCCAGAGGGAGAUUGUGUACUGUUGGAUGAUGAUAAAAGAUCAAAAUCAUUCAGAUGCCCUCCCAACCAUGCUCUAGUGGGCAGAGAGAAUCAACGACCAGUAUGUUGUAAACUAAAAGGCGUUUGCAUGAUAGAUUGCUUCAUACCGAAGAUUUUGUAUUCGUUCAAAAUUGGGUUCGAAUUUGAAAUCAAAGAAGGAUACGCAUUGGUGGGCAAAUACAGUUACGG